UACGUAGGGUGCAAGCGUUGUCCGGAAUUAUUGGGCGUAAAGAGCUCGUAGGCGGUUUGUCGCGUCGGCUGUGAAAACUCGGGGCUCAACCCCGAGCCUGCAGUCGAUACGGGGCAGACUAGAGUGCGGUAGGGGAGACUGGAAUUCCUGGUGUAGCGGUGAAAUGCGCAGAUAUCAGGAGGAACACCGGUGGCGAAGGCGACUCACUGGACACGUAUUGACGUGAGGUGCGAAAGCGUGGGGAGCAAACAGG
rnacentral:rRNA from 1 species